UACGUAGGGGGCAAGCGUUGUCCGGAUUUAUUGGGCGUAAAGAGCGUGUAGGCGGCCAUGUAGGUCCGUUGUGAAAACUCGAGGCUCAACCUCGAGACGCCGAUGGAAACCAUGUGGCUCGAGUCCGGAAGAGGAGAGUGGAAUUCCCGGUGUAGCGGUGAAAUGCGCAGAUAUCGGGAAGAACACCCGUGGCUAAGGCGGCUCUCUAGUACGGUACUGACGCUGAGACGCGAAAGCGUGGGGAGCGAUCCGG
rnacentral:rRNA from 1 species